AGUUUAAUAGUUUAUAAAAAUAUUGGCUUUGGGGGCUAAAGAUCUCUUUCUGAGUUAACUG
rnacentral:tRNA from 1 species